ACAACAGUGAGAGGCCCACGUACCGCUAAAAAAAAAAAAAAAAAAAAAAAAAAAAAGCUGGAGGCGCGCCGUGGAGCCGGCGCCUCGCAGAGAAGCGGAAACGGAGUCUGAGCGGUGAAGUUAAUUGGCUCGCUCUCGAUUACAGCUCAGUUCGCAGGUGAUGGCGGUGGGAUUGGAAGCCGGCGGUCCCGUCUCCCUUUGCGUGCCCAUCUUUUUUUUUUAAGUCAGGGUUAUUGUAGUAUAACUUAACACCCUUUAAAACUUUAAUGUGCUUUGUAAUUUUUAAGAAUUUACACCCCUUUAAAGCCAACAGGUCAGAGAAUUUUGACAAAAAUAUACAAGCAUAUGACCGCCACAGUGGUCAAGAUACAGAACAUUGUCAUCACCCCAAAAUGUGCUCUGGUGCCCCUUUGCCCGCCCCUCCCCCACCGCCAUGCUGUGGUAACCACUGAUGAUUUCUGUCCUCUACAUCUGCGGUCUCCACAAUGUCAUACAAUCUGAAGUCAUCCCCACCCCCUCUGCCCACAGAAGGUGAAGAAGUUGAAGUCAGGACAAUGUGCAGACCACGCUUUGGAGCUGAUGAAGACAAGCCGUAGCAGGUACCAGCUGACUAAGAACAACUUACAGAAGAAACAUUUAACCUGAAAAGUCUUAUCCAUUUCCCUGCAGAACUUCUUGGUGUCUUCAAGAUGGUCUCCAAGGGGGAAGUAACAGACAACUUCCUGAGCUCCUGUGACCACAGCAUCCUUUCACCGCGGUUGUAAUGUUUGGAGGACAGAGUUUGGGAAACACUGAUAUCAGAAACUUGUGAAGAAAUCAACAUUUAUCUAAAGCUUCCAUUUGGAGUUGGCUGGGCCUGAUUGAAAGAGAGCCAUGAUUUGCCCCUUCGGAUUAUUUGAGGAAUGAGCAGAGUGUAUCUAAAAUGAAGCUUGUGAUGGACUUCCCUGGCCGCGCAGUGGUUAAGAAUCCACCUGCCAGUGCAGGGGACACCGGUUCGAGCCCUGGUCCGGGAAGAUCCCACAUGCUGCAGAGUAACUAAGCCUGUGCGCCACAACUACUGAAGCCUGCGCGCCUAGACCCCGUGCUCCACAACAAGAGAAGCCACCACAGUGAGAAGGCUGCGCACCACAACGAAGAGUAGCCCCCGCUCAAUGCAACUAGAGAAAGCCCGCGCGCAGCAAUGAAGACCCAACGCAGCCAAAAAUAAAAAUAAAUAAAUAAAAUUUUUAAAAAUAAAAUGAAGCUUGUUGAGGUUCAGUCAUCUUGUUGAGGUUCGGUAAGUCUCGUGAGAUGUAGUUUCCAUGGAAAAUGAAACAGAGACUUGUGCAAAAAUAAGUCUACUCUGUGCAGUUUGGGAGUGCGGCCUGACUUCAAGGCGGAAUGACUUUGCUGGCCCUCGGAUGGGGGCCCGCUUGUUGUGAACACUGCCGGUGCUGUGUUGUCAGUGACUUCAGUCCUCCUGAAGCCUGAGGGUGGCGAUAAAGAAGCUGAAAUACAUCUCCCUUCACAAUCUCCCCUUUCCUCUCCUGAAGCCACACACAGGGGCCCACCCAUCUGCGUGCUUGUGCACAUGCGCACAUUUUUCUCUAGCAUGUUUCACUGUCUUCAAUGGUGUUGCAUGAGUUCCUAUCUCCUUCAUUCUGUUGAACUACUGCAUUAUCAUCAUUUAACCACUCCCCUUUGAUGGGCGAUUAGCUUGGUCCCAAUUUUGUCAUUACAGUAGCAUUGUCAGCACUAGGCAAGUUUUUCCAUUGUUUUAAGUACUUCACAUGUGAUCCUCAUAACUACUCUGACAGGUAUAACUACCCCAUUUUUAUAGGUAAGGAAUCUGAUGUACUGAAAGGAUAAAUGAGUUGCCCAAGGUUACAAGCCAGGAAGUGGUGCAGCCACAUAUGAACUCAAGUAGUCCUGUCUCCAGAGCAACACUCUGAACCAUUAGAUUAGACAUUUUUACACUGAGGGCAUAUGAUCUUUUAAAUUGAAUAGACCUAAUUUUAUGUAAAAUCCGCUGUGCCGUUCUCAUAUUUUUCAUUUCACUGAGAACUGACAAAAACUUACCUUGGAGUGGCAGCAGGCUACAGACCAGCCCCUGGGACCACUGCUUUCAGUAUACCAAGCAAGUAUUCUUUUAACACAUCUUUGCGCACACACGUGAGCA